GGAUAAAGCAUUGCUGGAGCGUUUGCUUAUUCCAAAUUCUGCGCAUUAGUAUGAUUAAUGGCAGCAAAAAUGAAGCAGACGAUGAAAAUAGGAUUCACAAGAACAAACAAGAAAGGAAAAGAGAAUGCAAGUAAGGGAUAAAGGCAUUGUGAGAUCUUCUUUGCUUAUUCCACUGGUGUCAUCUCAAAUCCUGCGCAAUAUUAUGGUACCUGUUAAUUUGGGUCCGUGGCAGAAUCAUGGCAGCAACAGUAAAGAAGACGAUCAAAGGAUUUACAAGAGCGAAUGGGAACGGUAAAGGAAAGAAAAGGAAAAAUGUAAUUAAACUUUAUGAAGUAAGAAUGGGAAUGGCAGCAAUAUUAUUAAUUUUUUUAUUUUGAACAGGAAAAUGUAAUUUUUCUUUAUGAAGUAACAAUGCAUCUCAUCAUUUAAGGGGUUGAGCUUAUCUGGUUAAAACGCUGGGUUCUCAUUGUGGAGACCCAAGUUCAAUUUCCAAUAGGGACAUCUGAAGUGGAAUUCCAAGCUGUGACUUUUCA